rnacentral:lncRNA from 1 species
AGGUUGAGUAAGAAAGGCACACAAAAUCUGUGUUGAACGUGUGUCCUUUCUUUUAUUUUAGGGAUCUAAUGGACCUGUUGGGCCACGAGGGCAACCAGGCGAACCUGGUCCUCGAGGUCUUGUUGGGCCAAGGGGGCCACCUGGCCCACCUGGGCAACCGGGAAUUCAAGGAACUGAUGGAGUACCAGGGUCAAAGGGCAACCCGGGUCCAAUUGGAGAGAUGGGGCCCCCAGGUCAACAGGGAAAUCCUGGAGUGCAG